rnacentral:lncRNA from 10 species
GGCGAGAUUCCGUCUCAAAAAAAAAAAAGAAAGAAAGCAAUCAGUGGUUUCUUGAUGUACUCAGAAACUGGUAUGUUCACCAUCUUUUGUUCAUGGGUAUGUACAUAUGUCAAAGCUUAUGAAAUUAUAUAAUUUAAACAUGUGCAGUUUAUUGUGAUUAAUUAUAAUAAAUCCAGUUACACUCAAUAAAGUGUUGAUGAUGUCAAUGGUACCAUGAAUAAAAUAGAAAGAUUAUUAGUUAAUGCUAUGUGAAUAAAAUAGAAAGAACAUUGUUGAACAAACCAUUUGACCAAUGAAUGUUUCUCACUGCCUUAUAAAAAGAGUAAGUGAAUUAUUAAGGCUUAGCAAAGUAAAGAAAGUCUCCCACAGUCUCUGAUUGGAAUUCCAUAAAACAAUAGUCGUACAUUUUUACUAGACAAAGAAAACAUACAUAUAAAAUAGCUAACUUUUCAAACUCCAGCAAAAGUCUCCAUUCAUUUACUUUUUGUUCGCCUUAAUAUAGCUUUAUUACCUUAUAGAACAUUUCCCUAUAUCUUAAGGGGGAACAUCUUUACAAAGAGUAAAGCAGGAAGGGAAUAAAAUCAGGACAAAAACAAAGAUCACUAAAGGAUGAGCUUUAAACCAUGUUCCUCAUCUUCUGGUAGAAUUCCACCAGAUUCUUCUACUUAGAAACUCAAGCACCCAACUCAUCAAUUUCACCUCUAAUUCUACACUUGCAACUUUAUCAGCCAUGUCUUCUGAGAGCUUGCACUCAUAUUCACCAACACAUCCAAAACCAAAACAGAUUUAGAAACAGCUCUAGACUCCUUGCAGAGAGGGAGUCUCACCUUAUCAUUCUUUUCAGCAUUCCAAGUAAUUGUACCCUCUCCCAUCCUUCCCAUCUCCUCCCCAGGCCAUUGAAAAGGGUUGAAUUUUAAGUACAUAGUUGACCCUUCAACCUGGACACCGUUUAUUGAACUGUCUGGUUGUGAAACUGCAUUGCCACAUAUCAAUAUAGUUGUGGGAACUUGGAGAUUCAAUAGGUAUAACAAUCUGUUUAUGUUAAAACAAACAAAACAGCCAUCUCCUUUUAUGUGCAGAGCCUACUGCUGUAAGGCACAAGGCUUACUCCUGAGACAGAGUACCAGGAGACAGGAGGCAAUUUGAGAGGCUAUAGCAAGAUAACUGAGUAAAAUACUAACUUGUAUUUAUGUCCCUAUAUUUUCCCUUUUUUCUCAUUUCAGAGCAGGAGUCAGGCCUUUAGCAUUUCCUUCCCUUGGUGAUUUUUUAAAGUAGAAAUCAGAAGUCACUUUCAAUCAAAGUCUUUUCUGUCUUUUGCAAACACUGAAGCUACCUGCAGAGAGGAUGACAGGGGCCUCAGAGGGAAGAGGAGAGGGAUAAUUUUAAGAGCAAAGAGAAAAAGAGGUGGGUCGGAGGUUUGGAAGAAGACAAAGGUUAGUGGGUCCCAAGGCUAAGGGAGAUCCACAUUCUACUCAUCACCAUUUCAGAAUGGAAAGGCCGGACCCCAGACACAGACACUCCAUGUCUUCCCAACUCCUCCCAUCCCAAGCAUGGCACAACUGCUGGAACCAAGGGACCAUGCAGGCUAGAACAAAGGGCGCCUCAGCUGUGAGUGGUGUAGACCAUGGCCAGUGUCCAAAGGGGCCAACAUCCUAGAUCAUUGGCACAACACUGAGUGGUUAAGGAGCUGGACUUAAGUUGAUUUAAAUUAAAAAAGAAAAAACCACAUUUUUACCAUCCCAUUUGCUGCAGUAAGAUUGAUGUGGGGACCCCCUGCAGUACAGCAAAGACUGGCUGGGUGACACAUAGCUACAGAAGGCACUGAUUACAGGUGCUGGGAUUCAGGCCACUUCAUCCUGAGCCCGUGGCUGAGAUUGUGUGGUAGAAUCGGUGUAAUCAGAUGAGUGUAAACUCAUGCUGACUAGGGAAAACUGGGAGUCUAUAAUAAGCUUAGGUUCGAAGCGUACUUUAGAAAGCUUUAAAAUCCCUGGACAAACCAGCCUCUCUUUCUGGAGUAACAAAAUACAAAUCACUUGUUUGUUAUGGUUAUCUUGACUUUGUGGAAGUGAAUUUAAAACAGGACAUUAUCAAUGAACACAAAACAAAAAAUCAAAUAAAAGGAUUGUUUCCAACAUUGUCAAACUUGUGUAAAUUAAAAACAAAUAAACAAACCAACCAACCCUGGGCAGAUACAAAGUGAUCAGAGAAGGAAGUGAGGACAGUGGGAGCCUUGUUAGUUUGCUAAGAUUAAAAUCCUCUGUAAUUCUCAGAAAAUAUCUAGAAAGAUUUUAAGGUUUCUAAGUUAAUUCUCUUUUUAAAAAUUACAAUUCUCCCUGGAGGAGGAGAGGCACAGAGAAGCCAAUAGACAUGCUACCUGGAGAAUGGGCCCACGUGUCCAGGUAGCAGUAAGCUAUUCUGUCUGUGAUGGACAUAACAGUUCCCAGAAACUGAGGUAUUUUCCAUCAUUUCCAGUGAUACUACCCCAAGUGUCCCCCACCCCCCGAGGAGAGACAUUUGAAUCUUAUUUAGGGAAUACCCCCAAGAAACUGCUGCUAUUGCAGAACUAGAAAGCAAGAAAUGGAGAAAUGAAUGAUGAUGUGGCUCCCUCAGAGUCCCCUCUGCUUCCUGGAUUGCUGCCUCCCUGGGCUUCCUCUCCUGCAGCCACACGGGCCUCCUGCAGGUUCCUCCCUCCUGUGGCCACUGCAUCUGCUUCCCUCUGCUGCCUGGAUGCUCUUUCCAGACUCAGUAUAGAGCAUUCCUGCACCACCUUCAAACAGCACCUCCUCAAUAAGGCCUUCUCUAUCAAUCUCUGUACAACUGCAGCCCUGGCCACAGCCCCAGCUCUCCCUUCUGCACUUAGCACCAUCUGACACACUACAUGUUUUACUUAAUAGUUUAUCAUCUGUCUCUCCCCACUAGACAAGAAGUACUGAGUCUUUUGUUCAAUGUUGUGACCUCAGCCCACAUUGGCUGCUGUAUUAGUCCAUUUUCACACUGCUGAUAAAGACAUACCUGAGACUGGGAAGAAAAAGAGGUUUCAAUGGACUUACAGUUCCACAUGGCAGGGGAGGCCUCAAAAUCAUGGAGGGAGGCAAAAGGCACUUCUUACAUGGCAGCGGCAAGAUAAAAUGAGGAAGAAUCAAAAGUGGAAACCCCUGAUAAACCCAUCAGAUCUUGUGAGACUUAUUCACUAUCACAAGAAAAGCAUGGGAAAGACCUGCCUCCAUGAUUCAAUUAUCUCCCCCUGGGUACCUCCCACAACAUGUGGGAAUUCUGGGAGAUAUAAUUCCAGUUGAGAUUUUGGUGGGGACACAGCCAAACCAUAUCAUUCCACCCCUGGCCCUCCAAAUCUCAUGUCCUCACAUUUCAAAACCAAUCAUGCCUCCACCAGUUCCCCAAAGUCUUAACUCAUUUCAUCAUUAACCCCAAAAGUCCACAGUCCAAAGUCUCAUCUGAGACAAAGGAAGUCCCUUCCACCUAUGAGCCUGUAAAAUCAAAAGCAAGCAGUUACUUCCUAGAUACAGUGGGGAUACAGUUAUUGGGUAAAUACAGCCAUUCCCAGUGGGAGAAAUUGGCCAAAACAAAGGGGUUACAGGGCCCAUGCAAGUCCGAAAUCCAGCAGGGCAGUCAAAUUUUACAGUUCCAAAAUGAUUUCCUUUGACUCCAGGUCUCACAUCCAGGUCAUGCUGAUGCAAGAGGUGGGUUCCCUUGAUCUUGGGCAGCUCUGCCCCUGUGGCUUUGCAGGGUACAGCUUUUCUUCCGGCUGCUUUCAUGGGCUCGUGUUGAGUGUCUGCAGCUUUUCCAGGCACACAGUACAAGCCGUCUGUGGAUCUACCAUUCUGGGGUCUGGAGGAUGGUGGCCCUCUUCUCACAGCUCCACUGCGCAGUGUCCUAGUAGGGACACUGUAUAGGGGCUCCAACCCCACGUUUCCCUUCUGCACUGCCCUAGCAGAGGUUCUCCAUGAGGGCCCAGCCCCUGCAGCAAACUGUUGCCUGGGCAUCCAGGCGUUUCCAUACAUCUUCUGAAAUCUAGGUGAAGGUUCCCAAACCUCAGUGCUUGACCUCUUUACACCCACAGGCUCAACACCACAUGGAAGCUGCCAAGGCUUGGGAUUCCACCCUCUGAAGCCACAGCCUGAGCUGUACAUUGACUCUUUUCAGCCACGGCUGGGACACAGGGCACCAAGUCCCUAGGCUGCACACAGCAUGGGGACCCUGGGCCUGGCCCACAAAACCACUUUUUCCUCCUGGGCCUCUGGGCCUGUGAUGGGAGGGGCUGCCAUAAAGUCUCUGACAUGGCCUGGAGACAUUUUCUCCACGGUCUUGGGGAUUAACAUUAACAGCUCCUUGCUACUUAAGCAAAUUUCUACAGCCAGGUUGAAUUUCUCCCCAGAAAAUGGAUUUUUCCUUUCUGUUGCAUAGUCAGGCUGCAAAUUUUCCAAACUUUUAUGCUGUGCUUCCCUUAUAAAACUGAAUGCCUUUAACAGUACCCAAGUCACCUCUUGAAGGCUUUGCUGCUUAGAAAUUUCUUUUGCCAGAUACCCUAAAUUAUCUCUCUCAAGUUCAAAGAUCCACAAAUCUCUAGGGCAGGGGCAAAACGCCCCCAGUCUCUUUGCUAAAACAUAACAAGAGUCAACUUUGCUCCAUUCCUAACAAGGUCCUCAUCUCCAUCCUAAAUCACCUCAGCCUGGAUUUUAUUGUCCACAUUGCUAUCAGCAUUUUGGGCUAAGCCAUUCAACAACUCUCUAGGAAGUUCAGAACUUUCUCACGUUUUCUUGCCUUCUUCUGAGCCCUCCAAUCUGUUCCAAUCUCUGCCUGUUACCCAGUUCCAAAGUCACUUCCACAUUUUCAGGUAUCUUUUCAGCAACGCCCCACUUUACGGGUACCAAUUUACUGUAUUAGUCCAUUUUCACAUUGCUGAUAAAGACAUAUCCAAGACUGCACAAUUUACAAAAGAAGCCUCAUAAUCAUGGCAGAAGGCAAGGAGGAGCAAGUCACAUCUUACAUGGAUGGCAGCAGGCAAAGAGAGAGAGAGUUUGUGCAGGGAAACUCCUGUUUUUAAAACCAUCAGAUCUCAUGAGACUCAUUCACUAUCAUGAGAAGAGUGCAGGAAAGACCCACCCCCAUAAUUCAUUCACCUCCCACCAGUUCCUUCCAUGACAUGUGGGAAUUGUGGGAGUUACAAUUCAAGAUGGGAUUUGGAUGGGGAUAAAGCCAAGCCAUAACAGGUGCCUACUAAAUGCACACUGCAAGAACAAAUGAGUGAGUGAAUGCUGGUGGAAUAAAUGCUGAAGUGGCCUGGGGUUAGUGGCUGUGGCUUAGUGUCUGGGUAUAGGAUUCUGGGGCCCACUGACAAUCAUCUUUGUUUACACUGUGGUCAGAAAGCUGGUCAGCUUGGACUUGAGCACAGUGGAAGGGGCUAGGCUGGGAGAACAUCAUAGGAUGUGCUCUCCCAGAGAGUGGCCUAAAUGACUUCAGACUGCUCCACAUGUCUCCCAAUGAGAGCAUAUGGCAAAGGAGGGUUGCUCCCUCCACAGUAUUUUUACUCCUUUGGUGCUCUUUUCAAAAAAGGAAGUUCCAUGAGAACAAAAGGGCUGGCAAAGUUCCUAUUGGGGGAUGAGGAAGCCAUGCCACAUUUUUACAAAUGCAACAUAAUGCCAAGCUCAAAGACAAAAUACUGUAAAGUACAAUCUCUGCUUGCAUAAAUUUAUUCUCUUGACUGGGAGACAAGACUAAUAGGUGAGAAAC